AGUGGAAGCUUUCAGUGUUAAAGCUUCGUUGUCUAAUAAAAGCGAGCAAAAUGUAGCUUGAACAGAACUUGCACAUGCGUUACUUAUAACUGAAGUGAUCCUGUACCAAGAACGAUGGAACAGGGUCACUAAAGUAGAAAGCUGUAGAAUAUACCAGGAACAAUGGAACAGGGUCACUAAAGUAGAAAGCUUGAAUUAUAGCUCCUGCUUUUAGCUGACUGGGAUCCUACUCCACAGGACCUGGAGCCAUACUUCUCUGAGACUCCAGGCUUCUUUGCUGUGAUCCUAAUCCACAGUUAGGGUUUCCACACAAAAAUAUGAUCUCUACAAAAUGGUGUUUUGAGCGAUUGUGCACACAAAGCAACUAAAAUAAAGCAGGCAGCCAAAAUUUCGCGUUGAAAUACCUUUUCUUUCUUGCACAAUAGCAGCCGUAAACUCUCACCACAACUAUGCGCUUGCAUGCAAUAUUUCCACUCUAAACAAAGCACACUUCAAAGUUAAAUUUCAAAACUAUUGUUGAAGCAUAGAUAAAGGAAUUUUGUGCUGCAAUUCUACACUUCAAGGCUGUUGAGUCAAUAGAAGCCCUCCCCUCAAUGUCUGAAAUGAAAAUUUCAGCCACCCAAGUGCGUGGCCUUGUUAACAACAACAGGUGAACAAUUUGUCCAAAAACUAAGCUUGGAUUAAAUCAAGUUUCAAGACGCUGAAGAAAACUAUAUACUUGGUCUAUGCAUAUAGAUCUACUCUAUCUAUGGUCUAUGCAUGCAUGAUAUAACAGUUAUAAGCCAACUUUUCAACAAAAACACAUGCACUGCAUUAAUGAUGAGAACAGAAAGUGUGCUAUUUUGACCUAACCAUUGACUUUUUACUGGAGACAUAACUUUGAAAAAAUUA